GAUUUCUAUUUGGAACCGUUAGAUGUCAUUGGCGGUGGAGAUUUAAAAUAAAAGGCAAAACAUAAAAAAUACCCCUUUGCACCGCCAUUUGAGAAACAAAGAAACAACAGGCAGACCCAUCCAAUCCAGGAGACCCGUGCUUCUCUAUCGUCUUUCCCACCAAAGAAACAUUUACCUGCAUUUCUCUGGCAAAAUUCUUCAGAACAUUAUCACUCAAGGUGGAGGUAGGCCAUCGCUUGUCAAUACCAGCACCAAAGAGGGAGGAGGCUGUGAAGCCUGGGUUUUGGGUCAUUUGGGACUUGGUGUCUUCUGCGUCUAAUUCCAUCGGUACAAGGAAAAAAGAAAGUGAAAAAACUGUUGAGAGACUCUUUUGAGAGAUUUGAGGAGAGGUUGGUGCCUCUUGGGUUUGCUGCCAGAAAAAAUAAAAAUAAAAACUAGAGAAAAAUUAACUCUUGUGGAGAAGCUCUUGUUGUUUGCUGUCAGUGACUACACUUUAAUUUAGUUUGGUGUGAACUAUUUUGGUUCUCAAAUUCUGUUCUUUGAGCCAUUGCCCCUUGGAA